GUCGGGACUCACUCUCCGAAACAUCUUUGCUGCAGCCAUUUAUCAUGCACAGCAGAGAAAACAAGGUCCUCAGGGCAGGGUAUCAACAGUGUACUCAGUCCUUUACAGACGAUACUGACUAUAGGUCUUUGCUCAUGGGAAAUCAUCUAAGUAUAUGAGAACUGGAAUGUAAAGGCCAAGAGUGUUGGGGUGAUAAAGCUGCCAUAACUGUUACCAUUGUCACUUUGAUGUCUUUUUUUUCUUUAUUAUAUCAUCUGUUUAGUUGCCAAUGGGCAGGGCCCUACAGCCACUGACCUUUAGGGAAAGGUGUCUUAAAAAGAGACUUAAAGGAGGCACAAAGCCCAAAUCAGAGGAACUACCAAACAGAGUUCCAAGGCAUGGUGGAAAAAGGAAUAUAGGGACUCUCCAGAAGCACCACAGGUAGCUGAAGACAGUGGCAGUACCAGAGACUGGCUAGUGAGAUCAUGCCUACAAGGGUCCAUUGGAUAUGGGGGGACUGAAGUAGAGACUUUGGAGCAGCAGUGCCGAUGUUUAGCAUCCUACUGUAAGGUAGGGGAGAGGAUGGCAAUCCCUACAUCUCUUGAAUACCUCUGGUCCCCUGGCAAAGCUUUGCUGAAAUGACCAAGAAUUGGGUGGCAAACUAGUUCCUCAUAACCAAUAUAAUUAAUUAAAAAACCAAAGUUGCUACAUAUGAAACAUCAACAUCUAGUAUAGGGUUAUACAUUUCCAUUAGCUCUAUACUUUGUUUAGAUUAUCUUUCCACAGUAAUUAAUUUACAUUUAAUUGAACAUUUGCUGGAAAUAUAACACCCAAACUUAAUGAACACUAAUGAUACAACGGUCAUUGCAAUGUUGUGAUAUGGUGGAAUUAUAUAGUUCAAGAAAACCACUCAGUUAUAAAAGGAUUGUUUAUGAGUCUAAUUUAUCACUAAGACACACUCAUUCUACAUGACUGUAGCCCCAUCAACUUCAGAAGACGUACUCUGAGUUAACUCCUGUGUAAGUUACAAUCUGUAAGGACAAUCUGUCCCUAAAAUUACUUUGCAUCAGUCUCAAAAUACAUUUCUGAGGCACAUUAUUGUGUAUAUAUAACCAGGUAAAGACACUUCCUACAUGCACCUCCAUAUCACUUUCUUUCAUUUCCAUCACUCACUAAACAAAAGUUCAUCAUAAAACCAAUAGAUCAUCUCAUAAUAAAGCAUCAAAAUGUGAGAAAAGAAAAUGCAUUAAGAUCAAUGUUCCAAAAGUAAAAGGUAGGCAAACACUGACCAAAAUUGACUCUAAGGAGCAUUUCAAUAACCACCAUUUUUGAUCAUUUAUGCUGCCUACAAAGAGCAUCAAAUACUUAAAAUAUGAGAGAUACCA